rnacentral:rRNA from 1 species
GUCUAUGGCCAUGCCACCCUGAACACUCCCAAUCCCGUCUGAUCUUGGAAACUAAGCAGGGUCGAGCCUGGUUAGUAUUUGGAUGGGAGACCACCUAGGAAGAUGGGGUGCCGUAAGCG